CCUGUGGACCGGAACACUCUCGGGAAACUGAAGGCUAAUUCCGGAUACCGCUCCGCGCCUGGAAUUGGCUGGAGCCGCAAACGUUCACGCGCCACAGGAUGCGACUGCGGCCGAUUAGGUAGACGGUGGGGUAACGGCCCACCGUGCCUGUAAUCGGUACGGGUCAUGAGAGUGAGAGCCCGGAGACGGACUCUGAGACAAGAGUCCGGGCCCUACGGGGCGCAGCAGGCGCGAAACCUUUACACUGUACGCAAGUGCGAUAGGGGAACUCCCAGUGCGAGGGCAUAUCGUCCUCGCUUUUCUGGACCGUAAGGUGGUCCAGGAAGAAGGGCUGGGCAAGACCGGUGCCAGCCGCCGCGGUAAUACCGGCAGCCCGAGUGAUGGCCGCUAUUAUUGGGCCUAAAGCGUCCGUAGCUGGCCGGGCAAGUCCGUCGGGAAAUCCACCCGCUUAACGGGUGGGCGUCCGGCGGAAACUGCUCGGCUUGGGACCGGAAGACCCGAGGGGUACGUCCGGGGUAGGAGUGAAAUCCCGUAAUCCCGGACGGACCGCCGGUGGCGAAAGCGCCUCGGGAAGACGGAUCCGACAGUGAGGGACGAAAGCUAGGGUCUCGAACCGGAUUAGAUACCCGGGUAGUCCUAGCCGUAAACGAUGCCGC
rnacentral:rRNA from 1 species